rnacentral:rRNA from 1 species
UAUAGAGGGUGCGAGCGUUAAUCGGAAUUACUGGGCGUAAAGCGCGCGUAGGCGGCUUUGCAAGUCGGGUGUGAAAUCCCCAGGCUUAACCUGGGAACUGCAUUCGAGACUGCAUUGCUAGAGUAUGGGAGAGGGAAGUGGAAUUUCCGGUGUAGCGGUGAAAUGCGUAGAUAUCGGAAGGAACAUCAGUGGCGAAAGCGACUUCCUGGACCAAUACUGACGCUCAUGUGCGAAAGCGUGGGGAGCAAACAGG